UGUUACUAUGGGGGAAUACACAAUUGGUGGACUAACCAACAUGGGGAGGAGCUUCCCAUGCAUGGAAGGGUUACUGGCUCAGCACCAGGUUCCCAGGAAGUCAGCUCCAGCUGAGCACAGCUGACAGGAUCCUGUAACAGGCAAACUGAGUUAGGUUCAGGCUCUUGGUGUAACUUCAGGGCUUCCUGGAACUAAGCAGUUAAAUUGUACAGGGUUCCUUAUAAGGUACUGGAAAAAGUGAGUGCUGUGGUUUGUGUGGUGGAGGAACCAGGUACAGCAAGUAGUUUCCUUAGAAGUAAAGGAAACUGAAAACGGAAUAGAACUAGUGUACUUUAUCUAAAAAGUUGUAAGAAACUUGAGGAGUGGUCAGUUUGAGAUGAGUCAGUCUGUAAAUACCCAGAGGAGGAAGGGCCACAGUGAGCAGCCAGCAGUGCAGGAGUCCACCGGGAAGCCCAGGAGCCCCCACACCUGCACCACUUGGAGACCCAGGAAGAGCUCUGCAAUGCAGGGCAGGGGAAGCUCGGAGAGGAUGGGGCUGAGCUGCAGCAGAACCGGGCAGUGCUCUAGAACCCCCUUGCUUAUGACACAGGAUGGAUGAGCUAUGGAGACUUGGCAGGGGUGAGGUGACGGCCAGGGGAGUCCUGACUGCAGCUGGAGGCUGCCAAGGGCAAAGCUGCAUUGGCUGAGGGCAGAGCGGAGGGCGCUGGGCUUUGCUGGUCACCAUGUAGGACUGUUACAGCUGUGACAGUUUCUUCACCUCCCCGAGAGGCGCUGGGUGCUGGCUGCAGCCCAGGAUGGGGAUGUGGACUGGGCUGUGCCAAGGCUCCUGCUGGGAUGUGCACUCGGAGGCUCCCGGCUGGGGAUCUUGCCCCUCGACUCAGGUCCAGGGUUCAGGGCCUUGCUCUUUAUGAGCAUGAGGGGAGGAGGACAGGCACGGACCUCUUCCUGGGGUCUCUCAGGGGAUCCUUGCAGCAGCAAGACAUGGACAGUGCCCUCAUCCCCCUGGCUGUCCUUCGGCAGCUCAGGCUGUCCCUAGUGUUUUGGGCUCUGCCUCUCAGCUGCGCAGGAGAGCUACUCAUGCAUUGUUUAAAGACAGGUUAAACAAACUUUCUAGUGCAGUUUGGAUAGUGAUGAACCUGCUGGAGCAGAGGGGACCAGAGGUGACCUCCUGGAGAGCCUUCUCCCAUGCCCUCCUAUGGUUUGAAGUGCAAAGUUGAAGGGCACUUACCGCACAAACGCAGACUGAUGGCAGGGCAGGCAGCAGCAGUGCAGGACAGCACUGGAGGCUUAUCGGGGACAGGGAAGUGGAUACAUGACCCCAGGGUGCGGGUACAUAGGGUAGGGUCACGGGGUAGGGGAGGGCACUUUCUUUGGGGAAACCAAGGCUUGUGGCACAAAGACCCAUGUAUCCCAGGCCCUGACAGACAGCAUAGGUGGAUAAUGCACGGGACUCCCCGGAUGCCUGGAGGUUUGGCAUGGAGGGCAGGGAAGGCAGCUCGGUGUGGAUGAAACUGGCUGCCAGACUGGGCCAGGCAUGAGACAAGGCGGGCUGUCGCUGCAGGGUACUGAGUGGGGUACAGGGAACAAUCACACCGGAGCCCUGGGAGUGGCCCGAGCCACCAGCAGCAGGGCACAGUGUGUGGCUCCAACCUACCAAAGAUGCAGCCAGGUCUAGUGCAGGCGAGUCCCAGCCCAGCCCAGCUGCAAUCCUGCAUGUUUGCUGGGUGCCGCUGCAGCUGGACUGAGCUGUGGCAGGGCGAGGGGCCACCCCCGGAGCUAGACCAUGAUGCAGGCCCCCAACGUGCAGUGGCUCCACACCCCCAGUGCUGCUCAGCUGUGGGGCGAUGCUGUGCGGGAUACUGCGCAAUCAGCCCCGGACUCCGUCUCCACCAUGUAAGUGUGAGCAGAAGCGGCCAUGGGUCCUGCUCCGGGCCUGGGGGGCAGUGCAUCCCACUGCUGAGGGUCAGGGCCUGGGCCCCAAUAAAUCUUAAUCUGCCUUUG